UCUGUUGAGGCUAGUAUCAAGUAUAGCUAUAGGGCCUAUUUAGAGACUUCAACAGAAUUUUGUCUUUAAAUAGACCAUAUAGCUAUACUUGAUACUAGCCUCAACAGA
rnacentral:pre_miRNA from 1 species